CGAACCGUGCCUUCUGGGAAGCCAGGUUCGCUCUAGGCCUCUGCGACAAAAAGACAGAAGUCGCCAUGAUCCUCCUCCGUGGCAAGAUGGGAGCGAACAGCGACAGUCCCCCGGCAAUGGGUUGGUGCCGUGGACCGCUCAAGGUUUCAUGGCGUACGACGCUGAGAAGCCAGUCGAAGUGGACCGGUGAAACCGGGCAGGACGGAAGCGAACAGCACAGUGCCAUCGCAGUGAUCGCAGCCUUCCGUCUACUUUUCCCGAGGGCGAGGGACCUUCGAUAAUGGUAGACGUGGUCGGGGCAAGUCCGAAGAGAACAGCUGUUGUGUACGAAGUGACAUAAGGACACCGAAAACUGGCUGUGCGUGGCUUAGGGGACGCACAAGCCUGCCGAAUGCAGCAAAGACAAGACCGAAGCGAGCAGAUAGUGUUGCCGUCUGCAGCGACGUGAGGUUACCGAAGACAG